GAUGAAGAACGUAGCGAAAUGCGAUAAGUAGUGUGAAUUGCAGAAUUCAGUGAAUCAUCGAAUCUUUGAACGCACAUUGCGCCCUUUGGUAUUCCUUAGGGCAUGCCUGUUCGGGCGUCAUCUAAACCUUCAAGCUCAGCUUGGUGAUGGGCGACUGUCCCCCCCCCUCGCGGGGGGGACUCGCCUCAAAAACAUUGGCGGCCGGUACAUUGGCUUCGAGCGCAGCAGAAACGCGGUCUCGAGCCCGGUGGAUCGGCUCCCAUAAGCCUAUUCUUUUAUUUUGACCUCGGAUCAGGUAGGGAUACCCGCUGAACUUAAGCAUAUCAAUAAGCGGAGGA
rnacentral:misc_RNA from 1 species